UCUGGUUGAUCCUGCCAGUAGUCAUAUGCUUGUCUCAAAGAUUAAGCCAUGCAUGUCUAAGUACGGCUCUAGUACGGUGAAACUGCGAAUGGCUCAUUAAAUCAGUUUUGGUUCAUUUGAUCGUGAAAGUUACAUGGAUAACUGUUGUAAUUCAAGAGCUAAUACACGCUAAGAGUGUCGCUCUCUGGGCGGCGCGCUUUUAUCAGACCAAAACCAAUCACCUUCGGGUGUUCAUUGUGGUGAGUCUGGAUAAACUAGCUGAUCGCAUGGUCUCGAACCGGCGAUGGAUCAUUCAAGUGUCUGACCUAUCAACUGUCGAUGGUAGCGUAUUGGGCUACCAUGGUUGUAACGGGUAACGGAGAAUUAGGGUUUGGUUCCGGAGAGGGAGUCUGAGAAACGGCUACCACAUCUAAGGAAGGCAGCAGGCGCGCAAAUUACCCAUUCCCGACUCGGGGAGGUAGUGACGAAAAAUAACAAUUCAAGACUCUUAACGAGGCCUUGAAGUUGGAAUGAGUACACUUUAAAACUUUUAACGAGUAACUAUUGGAGGGCAAGUCUGGUCCCCCGU
rnacentral:rRNA from 1 species